rnacentral:rRNA from 1 species
GAAGGCUCGCAUUAAAGAACAGGAUUAGAUACCCCAGUAUUCAGAGCAGACAAUGAUGAGUGUCAUAGAUAAGUAAAUAAUAUAUUAACUAGUUAAGCUAAUCAUAUUAUAUUGCAUAUGUAUAAAUGAAAGUGUAAGCACUCCACCUUAAGAGUAACAUGGCAACAUAGGAACUGAAAUCAUUAGACCGUUUCUGAAACCAGUAGUGAAGUAUGUUGUUUAGUAAUUUGAUGACCCACAAAGAACCUUACCACGGUUUGUAUAAGUUUUUUAAAAAGAAAUUUACAAGAGUUGCACGGCUGUCUUCNAGUUGAUAUCGUGAGAUUUUGGUUAGCUCCNAUUUAAUCAACGUAAACCCUUACUUUAUUUUUUAUAAAAGUGGUUCGCCGCUAUAUUGGCRAAAGAUAACAGGACU